rnacentral:rRNA from 1 species
UACGGAGGGAGCUAGCGUUGUUCGGAAUUACUGGGCGUAAAGCGCACGUAGGCGGCUUUCUAAGUCGGGGGUGAAAUCCUGGAGCUCAACUCCAGAACUGCCUUCGAUACUGGAGAGCUCGAGUCCGGGAGAGGUGAGUGGAACUGCGAGUGUAGAGGUGAAAUUCGUAGAUAUUCGCAAGAACACCAGUGGCGAAGGCGGCUCACUGGCCCGGUACUGACGCUGAGGUGCGAAAGCGUGGGGAGCAAACAGG